AUGUUAGGAGAGCAGUUCUAUGAUUUCUUCUAUGAAGUUGAGAAAGUGGUGUCCGUUGGAGGGGAAAAAGAUCAAUCCUCCAUUGCUGUUGAUAGCAGCGCAUCCCCUUCUUUCCCUAAAAAAGCUAGGGUGGACUCAUAUCCCGCUUCCUCUGCGGAGCAAGGGGAAACUGAUGCAUCGAUGGUGGGAAAUCAUUCGUCACAAAGUUAUGACAAAAGCUCACAGAGGUUGAUGGUGGUUACUGAAAAUGAAGAAGAGGAGGAGAGUGAUGAGGGGAAUCAUACUGAAUUGCUCAUUGAGUCUAUGGCUAGGGAGCCUGAUAAGGAAAAAAUAUCUUACUAUGAUUCUCCAAUGAAUGUCACAUGA
rnacentral:rRNA from 1 species